UACGGAGGGGGCUAGCGUUGUUCGGAAUUACUGGGCGUAAAGCGCACGUAGGCGGCUUUGUAAGUUAGAGGUGAAAGCCCAGGGCUUAACCCUGGAAUUGCCCUUAAGACUGCAUCGCUAGAAUCGUGGAGAGGUGAGUGGAAUUCCGAGUGUAGAGGUGAAAUUCGUAGAUAUUCGGAAGAACACCAGUGGCGAAGGCGACUCACUGGACACGUAUUGAAGCUGAGGUGCGAAAGCGUGGGGAGCAAACAGG
rnacentral:rRNA from 1 species